GACAUCUCAAGGGAAGGGAACAAAACAAUUUUUUAGCUGAGGAUAAGUACUGUGUAACUCGUGAAAACAAUAUAAAUGUGUAUUUAGUGACAACAGAAAAUGGGGAUUUUUUACAUGUUAUUUCUCUGCUUAACAACACCCCCCUCCCCCGCCCCCCACAAAGAGCCUGUUGCUCUUGGAAUAAUCCAAACUCCUAAGCGUGGCCCCUACCUACCUCUCUGAGCACCUAUCUCCACCCUGCUCACUGUGCCCUGGGCCCUCUGGCUCUUCCUUCACUUUAAUUUGCACACCAAGUCUGCUGCUUCAGAGGCUUUGCCCUGUUUUCCUCUGCUGGGCACACAGUCUCCAGAGCACUCACGGCUGCCUCGUUCUCCUGAUUCAGGACUCAGCACAAAUGCCAUCUGUUCAGAGGCCUUUCCUAAACAGCUUUCAAAAGUAGCAUCUCUCCUCCUGUCAUGCUAGAUCACAUCUAUGAUUUAUUGUCUUUUUUCCACCAGAGUCUCAGCUGUUUUGCUUUCUGCUAUAUCCCUGAUACCUAGAAUAAACAGCACGAGGCACUUGGUAGUCCCAGGAACUGUUAGCUGACAGAAUGAAUGACGUGAAAAUGAAAACAAGAGGAAAAAGACAUCGUGAAUGGAAUAAAGGUCUCAAAGGAUGUGGCCCAAAUGCUAACGCUCUGUCCCACAGAGUCCGAUCUAGGACCCUGCCCUGCCCACCCCAACCACCCUGAGCUGCUGCAGUGGUGCCUGCUCACCUUGGGGAAGUAUCCGGGCCUUCACAGGGGCUUUGGCGGCUUUUACGAUCUCCUUCAGCAUCUUCCGCUCCUCUUCUCCCACCAGAGACACUGAGCGCCCAGCCCUGCCAGCCCGCGCCGUUCGCCCCACUCGGUGGACAUAAUGCUUGAUGGUGUUGGGCAUCGUGAAGUUGAUUACCUGGAAGGUCAAAGUCAGACCUGGGAGUUGGAGGGAAAGGGGACACAAGGAGGCACAAAGACUCCCACCAAAAAUUCAAGGAAGAUACGAGCUGCUCACCGUUUUGACCCCCUCGAUGUCAAGUCCACGGGCUGCCACAUCUGUGGCCACAAGGAUGUCAAUCUGUUCGUCCUUAAAGCGCCUGGAAAUAGCCACAAACAGAUGUUCACUUGGAUACUUAAGCCCAAAAACGCUUGCAGGAGCCUGAGCCAGCAGAGAGAACACCAAUCCCUUUGGAGUCAAGCAGCAGAGUAUAGAUGGUCAGAGUGACCAUCUGGACAAGAUCCUAAACGUCAGACCAUCUAAUACUUCACACAACACCUUAAACAUCCUGUAACACAGAACAAAUGUAGUUUUGUUUAUACCACCUUAAGCCCCAACUCUACAAAUACGAAAGUCAGGAACCACAGAGCUAGAUUAUAGGAAGUAGCAGAUGCAAAUGUCUUCCGCGUUCAAGACAGCCUUUCUUUAUAAAAAUAACUUGCAGCUGCCUAUGAUCUAUGGGGAUAGGUGGAGAAUUCUAAAGGUUUCUCCCUGCCUACCAGCAUGACUCCAUUCUAUGAGAAUUAAACAAGAAAACACAUGGAAAAACAAAGGGCAAGGGCACAGCAAAGUAAAUGAUGAGGAAAUGGCGGCUGGCUUUGAUUCCAAAUCCCAUUCUAUCAGACCCAGGUAUGCCCACUGCUCUGGAAAACCUAUAAAGAACAAGACACAUGCUAUGUCCUCCCAAGUCAGAAUUUCCUGCUGUGGCCUCCUCAGCAGUUCCCACACUCUAUCCUAGGGCACGAGUGUCAUCUGAGGGACUACAAGGAGUUCUGAAUGCGUCUGAGACAACCUUACAGCAGUGAGACUAAAAUCUUUGAAGUAGGGAGUCGUGCUAUCUGCAUUCCAUGCUACUGCUCUAACGUAACCUCUGUGUGGGAUUUUCCCCCUUUCAAAUGAGAGCCCUUUCUGAAGGAUGGAGGGGAGCCUCAGGCCCCCGAAGUUUACCGGAGGGCCUCCAGCCGCUGUGUCUGUGACAGGUUGCCAUGGAGCUCGCCCACCUGCAGCCCCAUGAGCCCCAGGAGGAUGUGCAUGCGGUGGGCCUGCUUCUUGGUCUGGGUGAACAGCAUCACGUGGUCAGUGAAGGUUCUUGUCAACAGAGCUGGAGAGGAGAGAAGAGUGAGCUGGAAGCCACCUCCAAUACAUACUCCCCACUCCCUCACCUAUGAAGUGGCUGCUGUGCCUGGCACUGGAGAAGACAGGCUCACGUUCCAGGGCAGAGAAGAGAAGCCAAUUCCCAAGUGUGAUAAAUGCUGUGGGAGAGUGAAAGCAAGACAGGGAGGCAGCUUUAGGGCUGGCCUCUCUAAAGAGGUGAUACUAGGCUGAAUGACAAAGUACAAGAUUUGGGGGAAGAUUUCAGGCAGAGGAAAGAGCAAAUGUAAAGGCCCCGAGGCAAGACAAACUUGGUUUCAACGAAAGCAGGAGAGCAUGGCUGGGCAUCAUGAGCAAAGGCACCAAGGCUGAGGACUCCAGGCAGGCAGGGGCCAGGUCCCAGAGGGCCAUACGGGACUUGCUAGGGAGUGUAGAUUGUGGUCUAAGUGCGAUGGGGAGACACCAGAGGGUUGUAAAUAGGGAGGUAACGUGAGCAAAUGUUCACUAGUAAAUGAUCACUUUAAAUGAUCAGCAGUGUGGAGAAAGGGUUACCAAGGAACAAGAGUGGGAGUAGGAGCCAAGUACAAGGCCACUGCCAACAAUUCAGGCAAGAGAAGCAGUAGCUUGAACCAAGGGCCAGAGGGGUGGUGGUGGGGGAAAUAGCUAUGUAUUCAGCAGGACCGAAAGAGGACUGGACAGCAGGAAAGAGGUGAGGUGACAGAAAAAGGGAAGGAAGGACCUGUGGCCCACGUGGCAGAGCAAAUAAAUAAACAGAAGUACCAUGCAACAGGUCAGGGGAUCCUGAGAGAGGAGGUGUCAGGAAACACCCCACCGCUAGAGUGGGCCACCCACAAGGCCAAGGGAAUCUGGCACAUUGGGCUUUCACCUGCCACGAUGGCUUCCCGGUCCCCUUCCCGAUUCGGCCGGAUCCGGACAAACUCCUGCCUCAGGAAGGGGGCCACAUCCGUGUUGCUGUUCACAAAUAUUCGGACGGGAUUCUUCAAGGAGACAGAAGCCAGAUCUUUUACCUGCCCAGCACAAAGACAGGAAUGCUCACUGGCCUGCCAGGAGGCAGGGAGGUGGGGAGAGGAGGAGGCAGUGGAGGCAAGCCAUGUUUGCCCCAGGCCCCCCGCUGCAGCCCAGGCAGGGUCCUCUGCACCCCUCCGUUCACCCCACCAAGCAGAAUUCCUGAGGCCCACCUCGUCCGUCAUAGUGGCUGAGAAAAGCAUCGUCUGGCGGUGGUGGGAACACAUCCGGAUGAUCUCCUUCAUCUGUUCCUCAAAGUACUCGUCCAGCAUCCUGAUACGCAGGGAGAAGGAAUCAAGAGAAAUGGACUGAGCUUGCAUCUGUUGCAGUGAUGUUGUAACUGGUUACGUUGCAGGCUCAUUUAUUGACUUAUGAAUUAGUACUGUUGGUUUAGCUGUUCACCAAGAUUCACUAAGAACUAUCAUCUGGCCACGUUUGUUUUUAUCUUUUUUUUUUUUGCAGAGCUAUUUAUAAGUUGCAGACAUCACCACACCUUGACCCUAACUAUCUCAGUGCACAAUCCCUAAGGACCUUCUCCUACAUAAUCAUAAUGUCGUUAUCACACCCAAAACGUUGAAGUGUUUGAGUAGUGUCUAAACUACAGUCCAUAUUGAAAUAUCCCUAACUAUCUCCAAAAUGUCAUUUUAUAGCUGUCUUUUUAUGUUUUCAGUGCAGGAACCAAAGUUCCUACACUGCAUUGGCUGUCAUGUUUCUUUGGUCUCCCUUCAUCCAGAAAAGUCUCCUCAAGCUUUUUCACAUUCUGUCUUUGUCUGAUUAUUUCCCAGUGACCUGAUUCAAUAACUCAUCGCUGCGAGAACGUGCAGGGAUGCGGCUGUGCACCUCCCUCUCCAUCUGGAGACAGACAGUCACUGACGAAUUAGGCCUGGCCUCGCCCCUGGGUCUCUACUACGCAGGGCGUGGAUUCAACAUGAGGUCAGUGAUGGACACUGAGUUCACCAAGACGACACAGCACGCUGCCGGCACCGGAGCGGAGGUGAUGAAAAGUUAGUGGCGAGCAAACUGAAGAAGAUUUUGGGGCCCCCUUCCAGGGACACUUGCCGGUCUGGCAGGAGGCCGCCGAGGAGUUGAGGGCAGGGGCCUGAAGAAGCAUGGAGAAAGGAAGCAGUAACAGAAAUAUGAAUGCGCGCCGCAGCGCCCCGAACCCAGAUAGGCUCAUACCUCCUC